AUUGAACGCUGGCGGUAGGCCUAACACAUGCAAGUCGAACGGCAGCACAGUAAGAGCUUGCUCUUACGGGUGGCGAGUGGCGGACGUGUGAGGAAUACAUCGGAAUCUACUUUUUCGUGGGGUAUCACGUAGGGACACUUACGCUAAUACCGCAUACUACCUACGGGUGAAAGCAGGGGAUCUUCGGACCUUGCGCGAUUGUAUGAGCCGAUGUCGGAUUAGCUAGUUGGCGGGGUAAAGGCCCACCAAGGCGACGAUCCGUAGCUGGUCUGAGAGGAUGAUCAGCCACACUGGAACUGAGACACGGUCCAGACUCCUACGGGAGGCAGCAGUGGGGAAUAUUGGACAAUGGGCGCAAGCCUGAUCCAGCCAUACCGCGUGGGUGAAGAAGGCCUUCGGGUUGUAAAGCACUUUUGUUGGGAAAGAAAAGCAGCAGGUUAAUACCCCGCUGUUCUGACGGUACCCAAAGAAUAAGCACCGGCUAACUUCGUG
rnacentral:rRNA from 1 species